rnacentral:rRNA from 1 species
UACGUAGGGUGCGAGCGUUAAUCGGAAUUACUGGGCGUAAAGCGUGCGCAGGCGGUUCGUUAAGUCAGCUGUGAAAGCCCCGAGCUCAACUUGGGAAUUGCGGUUGAAACUGGCGAACUAGAAUCUGGCAGAGGGGGGUGGAAUUCCACGUGUAGCAGUGAAAUGCGUAGAGAUGUGGAGGAAUACCGAUGGCGAAGGCAGCCCCCUGGGCCAAUACUGACGCUCAUGCACGAAAGCGUGGGGAGCAAACAGG